ACACGUAGGGGCCUGACGUUGUUCGGAAUCAUUGGGCGUAAAGGGCGCGCAGGCGGCCGUCCAAGUCCGGUGUUAAAUGGUCGGGCUCAACCCGAUCAUGCGCUGGAAACUGGGCGGCUGGAGUCCCGGAGGGGAUGCCGGAAUUCCAGGUGUAGGGGUGAAAUCUGUAGAUAUCUGGAAGAACACCGAUGGCGAAGGCAGGCAUCUGGCCGGAGACUGACGCUGAGGCGCGAAGGCGCGGGGAGCGAACAGGUUUAGAUACCCUGGUAGUCCGCGCAGUAAACGAUGAAUACUAAGUGUUGGAAAAAUCCAGUGCUGAAGUUAACGCAUUAAGUAUUCCGCCUGAGUAGUACGUACGCAAGUAUGAAACUUAAAGGAAUUGACGGGG
rnacentral:rRNA from 1 species